rnacentral:piRNA from 1 species
GAAUCAGACAUGGAUCCUGCCUUUGAG